ACGGACUGUACCACAUCAGUUUAAAAUGCAACAUGUAUCAACGUGCAAUGCAUAUAAUUUUUAAAGUGCAUAUUUUCUUAAAUUCUUCUGAAUUUCAACCUGGUUAAGGAAAAAAAAGUGUUCGGUUUCUGGUCAGUGUGUGUUACCUUUGACUAUGCGCCUCAACCGCUGAUCAUCUCAAGGAAAUUUUCUUCCCUGGUCAAGGAAAUCUACUGAAAUUUGUUAUAUGUUUAUGAAUACAUAUAAUUAGUACUUAAACGUACUGCAUGUUUUGGCAUAACUUUUAUGAGAGAUUAAGGCCCCAUUUUCAUGAGACCAGAAUGAAGUCAAACUGGGACCAUUUCGUUUCGGUCAUAGUACCGUAUUAUUUAUAAUAGAUGUUUACAUGAGAUCGGGACAAAAAUAGCUUAGACCAGUCUCAAGUCGGAACGCCUGCUGGACCAAGCCGACUGACUGCAGACCCGGACCGGUAUGAAUUCAGACUGGGAUGAAUGCAAGCACAAAUACAUUUCAGACCGGUCUUGGCUGUAACCUUGACAUUGGAACAACACAAUGCUAACAAAAGCCAUCUAUAAAAGAAAAUUGCCUGGCAAGGUGAAUACAUUGAAAAUUUUGUGGUUUUCGUACCGAUCUCAUGUAAACAUGUUGACAAUUUCAAUUUUCAUUCCAGUUUGACUUGUCCUGGUCUCAUGUAAACGCUUUAUUUGAUAUAUUUCUAUUAUUUCAUACAGCUGAAUAUUUAAUAUUGUUCUAUGUAAACUUGGUGACAGUAUAAGUACAUUAGACAUAACAAUGUAUGCAUGCACUUAUAUGUAGAAGCUAGAAAUGUACUUGCCAUUUCUACAAGAAGCAUUCCCUUGAAAAAAAUUUAAAAAAGAAUCUGUGCCCGUGUCAAUUUGGGACAAACAAACUAACUAGAAAAAUUUCAGUCCGGACUGAGUUAAAAUUUCAAUUCAAAAUUGGGCGAAAUCUCAGCCCGGGCUGAAAUGGUCAGGUCUCAAAUUGGAGCU